UGGAAAGGCUUGUCGUUGGGCGUUUGCCCAAGGCUGCUCUCCUGAAAGCUUGUACUGACAAAUAUUUAUUAAUUUUAAUGCUAUAAAUCUCCUCAGCAAUAAGAAUCCUAGAUGACAUUUGCAGAGAAAUGAACUUACAGGCAGGCAGCAUCAAGAGGACAGAUUUACUUUUACUGGAGGGAGGGGAAGGGUGUGCACAUUUCCUUUCAAUUUCAACCUCUGAUCUGCGAUUCCAAACCCAAUGAGGAGAAGCCCUGAAAACCCUGGGUCUUUCGUACAAGCUUCAAUUCUGUUUGGCUCCUAAACAAAUACAACAGCUUACUAGAGUUUCUCUCUGUUGCAUUUACUAGAUUCUUAUCAGCAUGAUGAGAGCAGUGAGCUCCCAGCGAGUCCCUACUUUCUAUACAGUCAGAAGACAGAUCAGGUAAACGGAUCAGGUACUGAGCAGUGCAGCAGGCAGGUGAAGGGGACAGAGAAAUCCCAUUCAGGGGUCAGGCUCAGACCACAGACCGUCUACUUCUCAGUCCCCGUUCCCUGGCUGUCCCAGGCUAACGCAACUCCACCACGGCACAGAAACCUGAGAAGAUGCGGCUUUAGUGAUGUCAAGAUUCCAGAAGAUCCCACGGCACGCCCUCCCUCUUACCAGUCCCCUCCCGAGGACUUAGACGGAACAUGAAAACCCUUGCUCUGUGCUUUACGGAAGACAGCUCUCGUGUGUUCUGCCAUCCGAUCUCUUAUGGAAGGAGCUUUUAAAAGUUCUAA